UUCUCAAAUGACACCCACCAAGUGCCCAUUAACUCAUCAAAGUGGCGAUUCCAAAUUGAUUAUCUCGAGUGUAAGACAUAAUAACAUGUUCAUCAUGGGAAGUAAUUAGCGGUGGAGUGGGCCGGUGGCUUGCCGUUGCCUCCUGGUGCUAGCUGGCGACCCGCGACCGACUGAGCUGAGCGCAGUGGCCAGUCAUGUUCCAGGGAGCAGGCCAUGGCGCGGGGGGGUGGGGGGGUGGGGUGGGGGACUCGUCCCUGCUCCUCCCCCCGCCGCCAGCCUGCGGGGACAGGCAGAGCUCCUUGGAGCCUGCUCGGAUGCGGAUUCCCGGCGCUUCCAACUGGCUGAGCUUGGGAUGCGGGGCCCUGCACAGUUGCCUUGGAAACCGAGCAGCUCCACUGCAUUCCGCUGACAGGCUCCCCCCGCACCCCACCCCACCCCCCGCCCCGCAGGAAGAUCAAGUGCCUCCGGAGCGCCCUUCUCCGAGUCCCAAACUUGGGUGAGUGCCCACCCACUUGGUGAGGCAGAUGAAGAGAUGCUGGAGGGGAGCAUCUCUGGGAAAAUGGCUCCCAAGGGUGCGCGGAGGAGGCAGCUUGUGAAUGGGGGCAGGGCUCUGGAAGCAUCCCGCCAUCCUUUGGAGGGGAGCUUUGGUCCAGCUCUGUGGCACUGCUCAGCCUGUCGUUCUGUCCUCUCCUCCUACCCUCCUUGCCUUGAAUCAGAAACCAUCUGGAAGAGGCUAGGCUUAUCCUGGUGUGUGUUGGAGGGGGUCCCCAAGCCCCCUCAAGUCUGACAAGCUCAUUUCCUGCUGAGUUGCUCUCCUGGGGUCAUCGCACCGCCCGAGGUCACAUGGGCUGGUCUUUGGUGGGAAAACACCCUUUGCUGGCAGCCCCGUCUCAACUCCCUCAGAGAGUUAGGUGUGCCAGCUCCUUCAGAACUAGGUUCCUGUCCUCAGGGAGGCCUCGUGUCCUUUUUGACUAGAAGGGGGGGGGGGAGGCAGAGGGAGGAGAGAGAGAGAGUGGAGUGGGAGCUCUCUGCAGAUUAAGCUGGGUCACUUGAUAGGAGCUGGGUUGCUUUACUAGGUGGCCAAGAAGGGCCACUCUGACAUUUAAACUGAAAUUCGGUGACAGAGAACCAAUGUUAUAAAAAAAUGGGACGAGGAAACUUCAGACAGACUAAUGAUGAGACCUCCAAGCUUGGUACAUCAAGGGGCAAAGAGGGGGGGGUCUCUGAGUGGCAGGGGUGAGGCCAGCAGGGGUGAGGCCAGGGUGCAGAGCCCUGGGCUCUCCAGUGGAAGGAGCUUGGAUCUGUUUCCAGGGACCAUGAGAGGCCUGGAGGAGCGACCUGAUGUGAUUAAAGACAUUUUAAUUUUUUAAUCGUUUAGUAUAUUUAAUUUAUUGUGAGCGUUUUUUCCUGUGUGUGUGCAUGUGUGUGCCACAGUGAGCAUGUGGGGGUCAAAGGGCAGCUUGCAGGAGAUGCUUCUAUCUUUUCACUAAGUGGGUCCUGGGGAUUGAACUUAGGUCGUCAGAUUUGAUGGCAGGUGCCUUUAUCCGAGUGGCCAUCUCACCCACCCAAGCCGCUUCAACCCUGUCCCCACGACACCCCUACCCCGUCUCUCGGCCGCCCCCACUCCACUCGUCUGAAUGCGAUGACUCCAGGGAGUCUCUGAGUGCACCCUGCAGCCUGUGCCCCCGACACUGACUCACUGCCCUGAGCAGAAUGGCCCCCAAGUUCAUCCAUGUUGGGGCAAGGAUUGGAACGUAUGUCCUGCUUGUUUGUUCGUUUAUUUGAGACAGGGGCUUACUAUGUAGUGUAGGAGCGUGCAGUCCUCCUGAGUGCAGCCUUCCUGAGCGCUGGGAUUACGGGCAGGGGGCACCACCACACCACGGCCAGCUUAUGUAGUUCUCAGGUUCACACCACGGCUUCAUGCAAGUACUCUACCAACUUACCACAUCCCAAGCCUGCCAUUUCAUUUCUCUUCAAGUUGAUAUCCCACAUCUGUUCUGGAGACUGGUCCAUACUGCUUGUGCCGGAGAACCUGGAGCCUGGUGGCCUGAUCUCCAUCCUGUCAGCACUGGGAACAUGAGCCUCUCUGGUGUCUGCCACAUUUCUCUUCUGUAAAAUGGGUAGACAGCAGUGGCUGCCGCCCAGGGUUGUGGGACCCACUGAGACAUUGGACCCUGAUGUUCAGGGUAGAGAUAAAGUGGAGCAUAUACCAAAGUUGCAGGCUCCCAGAGGAGACCCGAUGUUUACCAGAAGAUGAUUGACUUACAUGGCUCAGGCACAGCAAGCCCUCAUCCCAUCAGGCUGAGAAACUAAGGCUCUAAGGAGUUAAAUGAUCUACUCAAAGUCAAGGUAAUUAUGGGAGAUGAGGGCUGGGAUCCACCUUGCCAUGCCCAGAUCCUGCCUUUUUCCCCUCAGCCAUGCUGACUGCCAAGGGUCCCAGACCAAGGCUGCUUCGAGGCUGCAGACAGAUGCACACAGGACUCUAAGUGGGCCAGAGGGCAUCCCUGGAGGGUUCGGCAGGUCUCUUCUAGGCAGGAAAUGGCUUUUCCAUCCCUGGGUCACAGGAGAAGCAUGUGAGUGUAUCAAGAAUGAAGGCCAAGCUGAGGCCAGGUGGUCUAGGAGCCCUGGACUCCCUGCAUCUCCUUCUGCACUGAUCCCCCACAAUCCCUUUCACUUGGGGCUGCUCUUUUGUGUUGUUGGUUCAUGGGAAGCCUGUGGCUCACCCCGCUGUGGGCUGGCGAAUCCACUCAUUAGGGGUCACCUUCAUAUCCUGUGUGUCCUCAGAGGGGAAGGGAUCUGGGGUUCAGCUGUGGGUCAUCUCUUCCCUCACGUCUCCGCUGGCUGCCGCUUGGUCUCCAGCUACAUACUGCUCCUCUGAGGAACGGCAGGACAGCUCUGGACUGUGACAGCCUGGGUGAGUCCUGAGUGGCUUGAACUCUCUGUCCUCUGCCCACACCUCUGUGGGGAAGGGGCCACGCUGCGCAUUCAUUUGUCCCCAGGUUGCUGUGGCCCACCAACCCAGGCUCCUUUAAGACUUAGACGACUGUGCUUUGGAGCUGAGGCUUGAGGUAUAUCAAAGGUGCUAUGGUAACGUCACUUUUAGUGUUUUGAGGACCUCCACAUACUGGUCCCCACAUUGGUCGCAGGUGCCUAGUUGACGUUCCCAGCAACAGUCAAUCAACACACCACAGAGAUACCUGUAAGCACGUUUGCUGCAGAGUCACUCAAGUUAACAAACUGGCCUAGAUGCCCAUCACCAGGUGAAUGGAUAAAGAGAGUGAGGUGUGGAUACUGGAAUUUUAUUCAGCCAGAAAGAGAGAGAUUAUGCCAUUUGCAGGAAAAUAGAUGAAACUAGAGACAUUCUCAUGAUGAACUAGGCCAGACUCAGAAAGACGAGUAAGUCCUCUCAGAUGGGGAACCUAGGUUUUGAAAAGUGUGUGUGUGAGUGUGUGUGUGUGUGUGUGUGUGUGUGUGUGUGUGUGUGCGUGCGUUGAAAACAGAAGAGGGAUUAUUUGACGGUUUGACAAGAGGAAGGAGGGGAGGGGACAGAGACAGUGACGGGGUGAGCCUGAGCUUUUUUCCUGUCGAAACAACUAGAAAUGCUGUAGCGAAGCCCAUCGUUUUAUACUAUGGAUGCAUGCUAGUCAGAAGAUAAAACACACUGUCCCAUACAAAUAAAAAAAAUCCCACUCAUGUUUUCCAUGUUCUGGUAGCCAGGGUGGCUACUGUGAAUUCUUUUUAGCCGUUGCCCCUGCAUGGAUGAGUCAUUUUCCACAUGUCUUGGGUUUUCUGGGGUCUUUUUCUACUUCUUCCUGUAGAAAGUAAACAGAAACAUGAGAACUCAGAUCCAAAAAGAUGCAAACAUUACACGAAGUUGGGUUUCUCCAGCCCCACUGUACAGCAUCCUGCACCAGGACACAAUGUCAACAGGACUCAUCAGGGCUGAGGAAGAGCUCCCCCACCCUGCCCUCAUCUCUCUCCUCAACCUGCUUUUAUCUUUAACUCACUGAAUGUAAAUCAGUGUAGACUCGAGGAGCACCUUGGGCAGGGGAGGGCAGGCCCCGAGACCUUGACCUUGACUCACAGAGGAUAAAACUUCUCUCAGGCCCAGAUGAAGCCAGAAGCAUCCAUGCCCGGGGUCAGCCGUGUGUGAGCCACAGCCUUGGGUUUGGGGACCCGGCAGGAGCAAUGGCUGCUGCAGGCCCUGGAGGAUGGAGAUAACGUGUGAUAAACAGAUGCCUGUGGGUCUUAAGUAGAAGAGGGAUGAGGUCCUUGGGGCUGGACUUGCCACACCCGUGACCAGGCAACCCAACCCUGCGAUGGAGGUGUGCACAGCUGUGAUCCUGAACCUCCCCUUCAGUUCCAGCCUUCUUCCUUUUCAGUCUCUCUGGAGUGUACAAGAGGAUUAUUGCACAGCACCUGAGUUCAUCCCUCUCUGCUCCCUGGCUUCAGAUGUAGCAUGACCAGCUGUCUCAUGCUGCUGGCGCCAGCUGUGACUCUCCCACCCCGACAGAAGCCUUCAAGUGUGAGCAAGCUAAGACCUUUCCUCCUAGAGUUGUUUUGAUCCGAUGUUUUAUCAAGAUUUGCUGUGGUCUGCUGAGGUGGCAUCAGAACACGCAGGGAAGCAGCUAAUGAUAUCUUUCACACAAAUAAAUAAAUAGCGGUCACCCCCGGGAGUCCAGGAACCAUACUGCCAUCCCCUUCCCUCUGCACUCACCACAGCCCUGGAUGUGCAGUGGGCCCCACUUAUCCCCCAUACUCAGGGCCCCAUGCUCCUCCCUCAUCAAGGCAGCCAAGGCAUCAUAGGGCAGGGUCUUCACUGCAUGAAGUGUGUUAGGAAAGGACAUGCCAAGAGAGCACAAAGCUCUGGGACCCCGGAGUGAGAGGAUUCCGUUUAGCAGAGAAGAGAUGGCUGUUUUCAUACACAACUCAGUUCAGGGAGGUAGCUGGAUAUCCGAGGUAUGUUCCACCCUAACUUUCUCCCCUGGAACCACCAUCCCUCACCCUUUAGUCUGACACAAUGCUGCAUAGAAUCUGGUCUGUUUCACCUUCACUGGAGAUGGAUGGAGGGGACCCCUGUCCUCACAGCCUCUUUUUCAGGACAAAGGCACAAAGGCUGGCCUCGAGGCUCAGCAGACCGAUGAGGCACUGGAAGCUGCUGGGCAGGGCUGUUCAUCACCUUGGAGGAUGACAGAGAGGAAGCAGGUGUUUGGCUUAAGAUGACAGAAAAGAGCAGGCAAAGUACAUGGGACAGAGACGGUAGAGUCUUGUGUCAUUUCUCAGCCCCAUUUCCCUCCACUUAAUGGUCCCAUAGAUUAUGGGACCCAAGCAGUGGAUGCCUGUGAAGGUUAUGCCAUCGGGUGAUGGUUUCCAGGGGCAGGAGAAAUAAUUGCGGAUUUUCUGUCCUACAAAGACCCUUGCUGUCUGCAGAGUGCUCGGUUAAUCUUGUUCUGCUAUGUUCUGAGUGAGAACACGGGGUUACAGCCUUCCUUUGCCACGGGAAGAAAAUGAGACCGACCUCUCCCCAAUUGGCUUUUCCCCCACCCUUUUCUUUUUUGGCGUUUUGUUUUGAGACAGGGUCUUACUAUGUAGCUCAAGCUAGCCUGGCACUUAGCUAUAUAGCCCAAGGUGGCAUCAAACUCACAGCAAUCCUCCUGCCCCCAGUCCUAAGUGCUAGGGUUGCAGGUGCACCCCAUUGAGUCCAGAAUGACCUUUCCUUUCACAUGGAAGAAGCAGGUGGGUGGGGUGGGUCAGGGGCGAGGGGUCCUCUGGUCCUCUCUCUUAAUCCUGCCCUGGAACAGCAUCGAGUUUGUC